rnacentral:lncRNA from 1 species
ACCAUUAUCUUCAAUGGUUUCAAUAUGAUAUUGAUUAUCUCGAAUAUCUCUAAAACUUAGCAACGUUCUUCCGAAACGUGGAGAAUAAAGUGCCUCUUUAAUAGUUAAGAUAGUACCAUUGGACAACAUGAUACGUGCCUUUCUGUAUCUUUGAAUCAGGUUGGAUGAGCCUUAGAGAGUUGUCAAAUGAGCUUUCUUGGGUAUUAAGUUAGUAAAAUAGUGUCGUUCACGCAAGAUGGUGUGCGUGGUUGCACUAUCUGCCAGACAACUAGCUUCCCCACUAGACAUACCUAGAAAUAAAUUGAUUGAAUUAGUCACAUGUAUAAAUAUAAUUCCAUUCAUUCAAUUAAACAUUUUGAGAAAAUAAUAUCCAUUCAAAUGACAAUCCAUAAUUCAAAACAAACCAAAACCAAACAAAUUAUUCCAAAUACUUAGAAAAAUUGUUCAAAAUUAAAUCAUAAACCUAGAAAAAUAAGGGGGGUAGGGCCGGCCACUAGGAGUAAACACCCUAAAAACAUGUCUAAUUUAUUCAUCCAUAGGAG